CUAUAUAAAAUCUUAGAUUAAACGUCUUCCUCCAUCAGACUGUUCCAAUGUAAGUUAUUUUUCUUGGAUUCUCUUAUGAUGAACCCAUCUGGAACAAAGGUGUGGCUUUUGGAGUCCGGUGCUUAGAUGUGGAGACCUGUGACUAAGCAGGUAACAUAAUUAUGUAUUCCGUGGUUCAAAUAUUAUAAUUUGCUUAACCCAACAGAUCUUUAAGCUGCUCAUUGGCUAGAUCCCUUCUGUUAGAGUAAAUGGAAACCUGUAGGGGGAAAGCACAGGUAGGAUAAGCGCAGGUUUGGAAAAGUCCUGGUCAUGUUUUAACAGAGACUACCACAGGUACAGGAGCAGGAAGUCAACUUAAGUUAAUUAUGGGCCAUCGAGGAGGAUGAAGAAAUAGCUGUGUGCUUUUGUGGGGGUAGAAUGGAAAUAAUGACUCCUAGUCAGUCUCCCCUCUGCCUACAGGCUGUGUGUGUGUGUGUGUCUGUAGCCUGUGUUUCUACCUGACACUAGCUUCGCUGCAGAGUGAAAAGCAUUUUACUGAAUUAAACCUUUAGAAGGACUUCAAGCCAUAUGGCUGGAAAAUGUCCAAAAAGCCAGCAGAGGUAGAGUGAAGUACAACUCAGAAAGAGAACUGAAAGCUUGGGCUGCUGAUCGCUUUCCUCCUUGCUUCAGUUUUUCAAAGAAUCAUUUGAAACCAGUGGAGUUUCAAGUUAUUCCUGUUAGUAGGAGGGUGUUUUCUUUACAUGUUUAUUUCCUCCAGCAGCUUACCUCAGUAAGUAUUAAGCUCUUUGGUUUUUGCAGGCAGGUUGGCAAGGCUUCCCAUCCAUGGGGUAAGUAAAUAAAAGUAACCAGUCCUGGCCAACAAUAAUGAGGUUAGUGUUGCCUGGCUUAGAAAGUAUUUUAUUGAAAAGAUACACAGACCCCGGUAAAAACUUUCAGUUGCUAAUAACAAUAGGUAUUUGGGUAUACAGAACUUUUAGAAGGUAUUUUUUAAAUAGCACCAAAACAGAAAGUCCUUCCAUCAAGUCCCAGAUUUCUCUUUUUAGUAAAUUUCCAAGAGGUACAAGUAAACAUAGCUUUAUGUGCCCCAAAUAUAAGGAUCUAAGAUGGAAGAAAAAUUGGGGAUUGUGAAGAUAGUUGACCAAAGCUAGCAAUCCGGUAGCCCCACCAAUUGUGUUUUGGCUACUUUUCUGGGUGCCAGGACACUGAGAAUCUGCAGAGUGUCCAGAGAGUGAUGAAGGGCUACAAGUUCAUUCCAUAGGAAGACUAGUGGAAUGGAAUCAUAAUAAUUUAUCCAAGAGAAGAUUUAGAGGAGCCAUGAUAAUUAUCUUGUAUUUGAAGGAGUGGAAUAUUGUUUUGCUUGGCCACAGAGAGGAGAACCAGGAGCAAUGGGUAAAAUUUGCAAAUAAACAUAUUUAGAAAAUGCCUGGGAAACCCUUCAAAAUUUAGAACUACCCAAGUGUAGAAGAAGCUGCCCCAGGAGACUUUGUGGGUUUUCCUCGUUGGAGAUUUUUGAGCAGAGGGGAAAUGACUACUUGUCAGACACAUAGAGCAUAGAAGUAAACACAAAUCCUCAUCACCUUGAGGUGAUCCAGCCUUUGUACAGAUUGGUUUAAAUGUUCCCUGAGGACUCUUCCAAUUCUGGUAAUACUGAGUCCAGACAGGUAGUACUAGAGGCAAUAUAAGAGAAAGGUAGUGGGUACUGGGGGCUUCCUGCCCUCAGUCUUUCCCUAGACUCAGUGAUUUGUAGUCUUCAGAUCCAGACUGGGUUUCUUAGUCAACAGGGUGAAGAAUCAAACCCUUGGGAGGGCUUCUAGCCCUAUGGCUACACCUAUACUCUUUCCAUAUUCAAGGAGGACUUCUGUUAUAGGCGGCUAAGAGAGGAAUCUUCUACAUUUGCCUUAGGCUGUGUGCAAAAAAAAGCCUUAGGGCCCCUCAGAAUUACAGCAUAGAUUUUCAGAACUUUUGUCUACCUGAAGCAUCAACUACUUUCAGAAAUAUAGAAGAAAAAAACUCUUCCCUUUUCGAUGAAAUCUUUAAACUUGAAAAUUAUAUAGUUCAUACUGAUUUUAUUGCUGGAAAAUUGAAAAUUAGGAGCUUUUGUUCAGACUGAACUGAAAUCUGCCUCCUAAAUUCUACCUAUUAGUCUUAUUUAAUAACAACAAUAAUAAGUUCUCAUAUUUAUAUAACACUUUAUAGUUGUGUGUUCCUCACUUUUACAGAGGAGUAAACUAAGGCUCAAAGGUAUUAAAUGACUUGUGCAAGGUCCCACAGUUACUAUUUGUGUGAAAGCUAUUGCUGUAAUCCGGCCUCUUGGAGCCUAGAAGAACAAAAUGUGAUAAUCCUUUAAAUAAUAAAAGCCAGAGACCUAAUCUUCCCUACAAUGCUCCCAAGUAAAGAGAAGACCUAGUUCCUAUUUGUUAACAUAAGCUGCUAAUGUUAUUCACAUGCAAUUUUCUUUUUUUUUUUUUUUAAUAUAACUUUUUAUUGAUAGAACAAAGGCAUGGGUAAUUUUUUACAUUAUCCCUUGCACACACUUCUGUUCUGACUUUUCCUUUCCCUUCCUCCACCCCCUUCCAUAGAUGGCAGGCAGUCUUAUACAAUUCAUAUGCAAUUUUCAUUUUCAGUUUUAUUUUACACCAUUUUUUAUACCUAAAUAUUUAGGUCUGUGUGUGUUGCCUUGAACUGACUCUUAGUUUCCUAUUUUUUUCUCUCUCUUGUUAUUUUGUCUGCAUUGUUCUUCCCUCCUGUGUUUCUACUUAUUAAAAAUCUUCCUAACAUCUUUUAAUGGUUUUGAUGAAUUCCUUAUCUUUGAACUUUCUGUCUCAGUUUACCUAACUGUUUCUCCAGUUCUUCCUUUCCUCCCUUAUGGUACUCAUGCAGACUAUUUCUACUGAAGCAGACCUAAUGUGUCUUGUUUAUUCAUAUGAACUUAUUUUCUCCCUAAUGUUUUCUUGUUUCAUGUCUGGUUUCUCUUCAUUGGAUUCCUGUUUCCUCCUUUUUUUCUCUCUCUUUUUUUUUUAAUCAUCUAAAAUCCAUCAUUAAUUUUUCCCAAUUUCUCUUCGAGGUUCUCUUUUGCAAAUUGUCUUUUCUCUCACAAGGGGUUGCAUGGAAUAGUGGAGAAUGAGGCAGCUUCAGAGAGAUCUGGGUUCAAAUUUUUCCUCUGCUGCAUAUUAGUUGUGUGACCUCAGGGAAAUCUCAGCACUUCAGACUCUGAGCCUAUAAUUGAGAGUCUUUGCUGAUAAGAAUUUAUAGAGGGAGUCCAUUCCUCCCUAACCCUUCAUAGUGUGCUUGUAUUCAAGUAAGUUGCUUUAUAUCACCUUUCUAGGAAUUGUUCUCUCAUCAUAGUUCCAUCACCAGUACCUGCAUAGUUACUGGUACAUGGUAGGUGUUUGAUAAAUGUUUUGUGAUUGAUUGAAGGAGGAGUGUGAGUAAAGCUAUUCAAACAUAGAAAAUCUUUCCAAAGGUUAGUUCCUGCCUUGUUUUUAUAGAAACUCUUCAUAGUCCUUGUUCUCCACCUGAAAUGGCAUUUCUGACUCUUCAUCAUACAAGUACCCUUUGUUCAAACUAUAUUUACUACACGUCCUCAUGCAGGUCCCCACUGCCUCUCAUUCUGUCCCUAAAUAAAACCAUCUGCCAGUGGUUAAAUUCAUCUUCCUCUUGCCCAAGCUCCACUUUAUAACAUACACCCCAGUUCAAAUUCUAAAUCUACCUUCCUUUUGCAUUUUUGAUACUUGAUCAUUGCCGUGAACAUCCAACACCCAAGACACACCAGGUGAUUUUUUUCCAAAAGGUAAUGAACAAAUUAUUUUGUCUUGCCCCCUGGGCUCAAGAUUUCCCUAGUGCUUUAAUUCCUCUUGGUAUAAAGGCUGACUGACUUGAUUCUUGUAUGUGUACAAACACUCACAAACCUUUUUGUAAUUUGUAGCAUCCAAAAGAAGUCCAAUUUCCUUCAUGUUCCAAAGCUUUCACUAAGUCCUUUUCCCCAGGAAUCUGAAUAAUAAUUCCUGACAUCCAUAUAGCACUUUAAAGUUUCAUAAAAAUCCUGUGAGUAUAUAGGUGCUGCAUAUCUUUAUACUUCUUAGGCUAUUUAAAUCAAGAUCAAAUAUGGGAUUACCAUUUGAUAGCUGGGGAAACCAAGGCUCAGAGGGUUAAAUGAUUUGCCCAUGGUCUAUUAGCUAGUAAGUGUUGGAGGUGAGAUCUGAACAUCUUGCUGAAUGCAAUUCUAGGCUCCAUCUAUUUAGGAAGUAAAUGACAGUAAAUAUGGCAUAUGUUCAUACAUAUUGAAUUAAUAACCAAGGCCCUUGCUCACAUAAUCUCUUGCUGGGCAUCUGUUCUCAUUCUUUGUGUAGUACUUUCUCACCACAAAUCUUAUGAAUGAAUCUUCCUGCUGUCUUCUUCCCCUCAUAGAGGAUCCCCAGAUCUUUUCAUGUUUUUUUUGUGUGCUUCUCCUACUAUUACCCUUACAGAAAAGAAAGUGCAUGCAACAGUAUUUUUUUCCUUUCUCCCAUUUUUUUUAAUGAUUUUGCCCCACCUCUUCCACUUUUUGUCAUCAAAUUAUUUCAAAGUUCCCAUUUGUAACAAACAUUCCCUUAGUGAGGCUCUGUUCAUCCCAGUUUCCAACGUUAUCUGAUUCUUGAGCAUUAUCACUUCCCUUUUUGCUCUUUAAGUUCCAAAUUACUUGUACCCAUCACAUAUUCUCAGUGCCCUCGGCUCCUUCCACCAGCUCAGUUUCUUACAUGAGUUGGCAUAGCAGGUCAUAGAGUUGCCAUUUCCUCACCACUUCUUUCUGCACCUCCCCCUUUUGAUCCCAAUGUUUCCUCCAUCCCAAUAUAAAUUAAUCCAGUCUAAUCAAGCAUUCAUUUAUUUAAUCCAUGAUUGGAACCAAUAUAUAAAAACAAAAUAAAUAAUGACCCUACCUUUUAUGGUUCUACUUAAAUCCUAUGUUACUCAUACAUCAAACUUAAAUUCAUUUUAUCUUUAAAUUCUUGCUUGAUAGAUGAGAAAACUGAAGCAGAGAGAGAUUUAAUGACAUAACCAAGGUAAAGUGUCUAGCUACUAGCAGGAACAGGACCAGAAUCUGGGAGUCCUAAUUCGUAGUCCGACGUUUUUCCAAUGUGUCAUAUACUCAUGUUAUAGAGUAACCAAUCUUGGCUUUCUAGAUUUGCUUUAGGAAUUUGCCUGUGGACUCGGUCAUCUUCUUUUAUGAAAGUGGGUGAUAUUUAAUUAUUUUUAGUGUGUGUGCAUAUAUAUAUAUAUAUAUAUAUAUGUAUAUGUAUAAAACAUACAUUUAUAAUAUGUAUUAUAGAUGCAUAUAUUAUAUAUAAUUAUUGUAUGCAUUAUAUAUAAUGCAUAUUUAUCACAUAGAAUAUGACAAUAGAAAGGGAUCUGUGAGUUCACCCAGCCCGGUCCAUAUGUGAAUAAAAGUACACUUGCCAAAAUCUUAUCGAUCUCUAGUUGAAUAUUUCUAUUGAUGAACUUGGUACCUAGUAACCUACCUCAUUACCUAGUCCAGCUUGGAGCAAUUUUGAUUAAAAAGUUUUUCUUUAUAUCAAGCUAAAAUCUAUCUUUUUAUUAUUUCUAACUCAUUUUAUCCUCUGGGGCUUAUUAGCAAAGCAAAUCUAACCCUUCUUCUUCAUGUCUUCAAGUAUUUGAUAGUAGCUAUCAUUUCUUUCCUAAAUCUUUACUUCUCCAGGAUAAAUAUUCCCAAAACUUUUAAUGAGUCCUCAUGUGGUAUAUUAUGGGCCAGUAUAUUGGGAGAACUGGAGAAAUAUAAGUUAAGACCCCCACAUAUGAACAUACUCCCAUAUCUUUAGUUGAGAUUGUUGUUGUAGUGCAGACCUGGAGCAGUUUGGGCUAACUUCGUCCUCCAACAGCUCAAUCUGGGAUCCACGUGUUGGCAAUUUGGACAGAGCAUAAGGUAGUUCUGAGAACUUUAGUAGGGAUUUCUUGAAAUCCCAAGGAACUGCCUUUCUUGCUGCUUUUAACCUUCUUGCAGUUGCCUUUUAUUUCUUGAUUUCCUUGAAUUUUUUUUUUCCCCAUACCACCUGAAGGUAUUGGAAGAUGUUUUUAGUAAAAGGACCUUGUUUGAAGCUUCAGGCUCUGAGCUGAGUGAUCAUUGUACCAUCUGUUCAACUUCACCCAAAUGACUGAUAAUAGGCGAGGGAUAUGGUGCAUUAAAAGAGAAACUUAAUGACAUAACCAAGAUGAAAUGUCUAGUUAGUUGCAGGAACAGGACCAGAAUUUGGGAGUCUUAAAUCUUUGCUUUGAAAAUAGUCCUGGGUGAUCCCUGGGUCCUCAGAAAACUGCCCAGGUAGUCAUGAGUGAAAUGACAUUUGGACAGCUCCAGCAGAAAUAAGAUAAUGGUGAAAGCAGUGGUGCCCUGACCUGUAAAAUAAUACCCCUCUCAGCAAUGCCAGUGCCAGAAACACCAGAAUAAUGGGAAAAACAGUGGUGCCCUGGAAACAAUAGCACUGCCAGCAGGGAGACAGUGAUCUUGGUAGUGACGCCCAGCUUGCAAACAGCUCUUAUAGUGGAACACAGUGAUAGCUGAGUUUGUAAGCCUUAACCCAGCCUGGAGACAACAGUGUGAGCCUGGACCCAGAAGCAGCUGUGGUAGUGUUUGGGCCAAAUGGGCCCCAGGAAUGAAGAGCAUGUGGGCUAGAAGCAGUCCUAAGUAAGCCUUGGCCAACCAUGGGCAGGCUAGAAGCAAUAGGAGUCAUAGCCAGCAAGAGGAACAGACCAAUGCAGAUACCAUUCUUGUUUUUUUAAUGGGACUUUUUUUAACUUUGCUACGACAUGUGGGUAAAAAGACUAGUGAAGAAAGAAAGGAUGGCAUGGACCCAGAACAGUUUGGGUUAAUUUUGUUCUUGAGUGAAUUAAUGUGGGAUUCAGCUCUAGACUCUUAUGGCAAGAAGAGCAUAAAAAUAGUUUUUAGGACUUUGGGAGAAAGUUCUUAAGAAUGCUAGGAAUCUCCUAGAAGACUGCUUUUAACUUUCUUGAAGUUGGCUUUUAUCCACUUUUAUCUACAAUGGUUUCUACCUGGAAGUUUCACAAUAUGUUUUUAGUAAAAAGACUAUUUGAACCCUUGGGCAUCUGCUGAGCCAUUGAAUAGAUGCAGAAUAACCACAACCUGAACAUGUAGCACAGACUCCAAUUUCAACACCCAUUUGGUCUCUGUCCUCAAAGCUCUGGUUUGUCCAUGUCCUUCCUAAAAUGUGACACUAGAAGUGAACACAAUGUUCUAAAGAAAAGUGCAACAGGAUUCUCACCCCAUCAUUACAAAGGAUAUAACUAUCAAUACAGUUUAAGAAAGUAUUAGCUUUUUUGGUUGGCAAAUCCACACUGCUGACUCCUAUGGAGCUUAUUCUCUAGAAACCAGAGAUCUUUUUUAAAUAUAAAAUGAUAUCUAGUUUUGUCUACCACCAUUGUAUACUACCCAUGGUAUAUUACCCAAUAUUUGUUUUUAAAAAUGCUUUUCUCCAGUGCCUUUUUCUGUUCCAAUUUCUAUGAUCCUUCUAUGACUUUGUUUUUCCUAUUUAGAUACUUGUGGAUAUUGAUUCUGUUGUCUGACAAAUUAGCUACCCUUCACAGCUAUAUGCUAUCUGUAAAUCUGAUAAAUAUGACUUUUAUGCUAUUUUCUAAGUCACUGAUAACAUUGAAGUAUAUAAUGCAAGGACACAGUGCAUCCGAUGCUUUCCUAGAGAUUUGUAAGUUGAUGUUAUUCCAUCAAAUAUUCUUCUUUGGCUCUAGUCAUUUACUCAGCUCCAAACCCACCUAUCCAGCCUAUAUCUUUCUAUCUUGUCCCUAAGGAUAUCAUUAGAGAUGGUCUCAUUAAAGAUGCCCGUAUUCUCUCUCCCCACAAAAAAGGGGCAGAUAGGUGGUACAGUAGAUGAAGUACCAGCUUUGAAAUCAGAAGGAACCGAGUUCAAAUCCAGCUUAGACAUUUGAUACUUUCUAGUUAUAUGGGGGCAAGUCACUUAACCCCAGUUGCCUAGGAAAAAAUUUAAAAAGAUGCCAAUAUCAUUUCCCUGACCUACCAGAUUACAAACUAUUUGAAUUGUUUUAGGAAGAUUCUGAAGAUCACCUGGCAGAAUAAAAUACCAGACACAGAGGUUCUUUCUCAUACUAAACUUCCAAGCAUUUCAACUCUACAGCAGAGAGCACAACUUUGUUGGGCUGGCCACAUUGUUCAAAUGCCAAAUGUACACUUGCCAAAAAUUAUUUUAUGGAUAAAUCGCACAGGGCAAGCACUCACAAGAUGGUCAGAAAAAGCAAUACAAGGACACUCUCAAGGUCUCUCUUAACAACUUUAGAACGAAGAGUAUGACAUGGGAGACACUGACACAGAACUGCCCAGCAUGGUGAGCCUUCAUCAGAGAAGGUUCUGGGCUCUAUGAGCAAAGCAGAAUUGAAUUAAACCAAAGGAAAUGUGAGAUGCGCAAAAUUAGAAGCUCCUCCAAGUGUUCAUAUGGAUUAUUUGUGUCUGACCUGUGGCAGAGCAUUCUGAGUUCAUAAUGAUCUAAUCAGCCAGUCGGACACACUGUAAUUUGACUCUAAUAUAAUGAUAUCAUUUUGGUCCUCUUCAAGAUUGAAGGACAACAACCAACCAACCAACUAACCAACAAAAAUAAAAUAAUGUUAUUAUGACAUAACUUGAAUUCCCUGAAUACAAUCUGGCUCAAAAAGAGGUUACUUUCUGUUCUAAAUACUCAUAAAGUUGGCUCCAACAGCAAGCACUGAUUAAGCUGAAAUUUCAGGACUUCGGCAGUAAUCAAAGUCAAACUCAAAAGCUCAGCCUGAAUAAUCUACCCAUUUUCCUUUUUGUAAAGUCAGGAAAACAUUUUCCUGUUUUAGGACCACCUUUCUUGUCCUCAGUUUAUCAGAGAUGGCUCACUGAUGAUAUGGUUCUCGUUAUUUAAAUCUCCAGUUCUUUUAGGAUCCUUUAAUGUGGUCAUUCUUGAUCUUGUUGCUUGUGUCUAUUGAGGUCAGCCAUCUGAUUUUUAAAUUUCUUCUAUAUUAAAUUUCAUCUCCUUUAAUUGUACUUGUUCUAUCCUUCAGAAUAGUGUGUUAGCUGUGGUUCAAAAAUAACCUUUAGUUUUAUGCUUCCAAUACAUAUUCAAAUAUUAAUGAAUGGAGAUGAUGGUAUGAUUGUUAUUGGUCUUGCUGGCUAAGAGUUAUUUUUCAUAUUUUUCUUUUUUUGACUAAGAUGUGUUAAGCUCUGAAAGUAAAAAUUCAUUUAAGCAUACAAUGAUUUUCACAUGAAAUUAGUAGUUGUGUGUUUUUCUUAUUAAAAAGAGAGGAAUGGGUGGGUAAUGGGAGGGUAAUGUAUCAGCAAAUGAGAAAUGUAAUGAAAACAUAAAAGUAUCAAUGAAAAUGCUUUAAAGAAAUUAACUAUUAUAAUUUGCGUAACUGUAUGAAAAAGUCUUUAGGACACAAACUUUCAUAGAGGUAUCACAAGACAUAUGAUUUUAACCUCAGAAUCUUGAAUUUCAGGGAGAGCUCUAAUUCAUUCACUCUUUUCACCAUUAGAUACUUCCAAGUGAGGAUUGCUCUUUCUCAGACCAACUUUUCUUUUGGAAUGAAGUCUUUGUAUCUAUAACAAAUCUGUAAUAAUAACCCAUGUUUUAUAGAGCUUUAGAGUUUGCAAAGCACUCAUAUACUUUAUCUCAUUUGAUCCUUACAAAUUUCCUAGUAAGUAGGCAGCAUUGGUAUUAUUAAUCACCCCUUUACAGAUAAUUAAUCUGAGUCCCAGAGAGGUUAAAGUGAUUUGCCUAUAAAAUAACUGGCAAAGCCAAGAUUAGAGUUGAGGUCCCUGGUUCCUUGUCUGCUAGUCUUUCAUUAGAUCCAUUAGAUUAGAUUAGCGCUGUUCUUUUCUAUACAGUCUCUUUAAGUAAGCCUUUCACGUUUCCAAGAGAUAUCUUCCAUAGUUUCAGGGAAAUAAAUGGUUAAUAAACAGAUGGGGAUUGUAAAAUUCAUUUCCUAGACUCGUUUUUCCUAGAUUUUAGCCAUGCAUUAUUCCUAUAACAUUUUUUUUUCUAUCUAGCUGGAAUGACCUUUCCCUUACCCUCCAUAUCCCCAAACCAAAAACAAUUCCCAGUAAGAAGAUCAAUACGAAUUGGCAAAAACAGUUUCUUGAUUUCUUCUAUUGGUCUUUUUCAUAUGCUACACACAGUAUAAAGUCGUUCCUGGAUACUUAGUUGUGGACAGAUGGAGAGCAGUAACAGAAAGGGUGAGUUGAGAAGUUCCACAAUGAAACUAUGUUUAGCUCCUUCGGGUAGCAACUUUGUUAGAAUAUAGCUACAAGCAUACUCUGUGUGCCUGUAGCUUCUUUUGGGCAAUUACCCAGGAGCAGCAAAAAAUAUGAAUGUACUUACACAGUGAGAAAAUAUGAAAAUAUUCCAGUUUACUAUUUUCCCACAGUUAAAUUAAAAGGGUACUGCAGGAAAGCAAGCCUAGAACUAGAAUACCUGUCACUGGAGUCCAAAAUAAUAAUCAUAACUUCAAGGAUUGAUGAGUUUAUUCAACACAAAUUAAACUUCUCAGGGCCAAUUUUUACACUUAAGAUCUUGUGUUCAGUUUGACAUAGGUGCUUAAAGAAGCUUCAAAGUCAAAACUAAAAAUAAAAAGCAUCCAGUAAGCUUAAGCAUUCAUUCCUCCUCCACAAAGAAUUCACUCACCUCUGGAUCAACUCAUAAAAGGUAGACUACAUCCAGUAUGUAGGGAGAUGUGUUUUGAGUGGGGUGAGGUGGGAAGAAAAAGGAGGAUACUAGAUACUAUUAAGAGUGCUUAAGCGCUCUUCUCUCUAAUUCUUUGGCUUGUUGCUGUUGCCUAACAAUUCACUUAAAGCUGAGGUUCGGGGUCAAGUUAGGGUUUUCAUCAAAGUUGGGGAUAUUAAUAACAGCUAGCAUUUUAAUAUAACCAACCAUGUGUGGGACACAAUAACUAUUUCAUAAAUAUUAUCUCAUUUGAUCUUCACAAUGACACUGGAAGGUAGAUGCUAGUAAUACCUACUUAAUACAAUUGAAGAAAUCUAUUCAGAAGUUGUGACUUGCCCAAGAUGCUCAGUGUUCAAUAUUGUACAAUUCUCAAGAUGUACACUGAAUUGGGUAUAGAAUGGGUAUUUCCUAUACACAAGAAAAUUGUUUUAAAAAGACACAAAAGAUUUGAAGCAUGCACUGACAAAACUUAAGUAACCAGUAACAUAUUACAAGCAUGAUUACCAUCUCCCAGGAGGUUGAACCAUAAGCACUCCAUCAUAAAGCAUUUGGUAAGAUAGCAUUUCUAGGUAUCACCUCAAUUCUGCACUAUAGUCCCACUAUAGCAGAUAUCUCCUGGGAAGCGACGCCAGACAUUGGGUUUGUUCUCUUGCCUGGUGGUCACCUUCUUUCAAAAGAGCUCAAAUAAUUGUCCAAUAUUCUUUCCAAAUACCCCCUAAGGAGUUAGCUUCUUCAAAAUUUCAGACUCACAAAAUAGCCCCCAAGCUUGGAUGCCUCCAUCCUAUAUGGGGUCACUACCCAUUAACCCAAGAUCAGACAACAAGAAACUCAGAAGAUGCAGCCCCCAAACCAGGACCAGGCUCACUUAGGAGCACAAUGCCUUUAUCUGCCACAUUAAUGGAAGAGGCAAGCUACCUUUUCCGUAACCAUAAACAGUCCCAAGUGAUCCUCAGCAGAGAGAAGAAAAAACCAGAGCCAGAGCCAGAGAUCCUCCCUUUAUAAAGGUUCAGUGACUCAUCAGUCUCUUGCUCAACUGCAGAUAAGACAGUUGCUUUGUCAUCUGCAUGUGCAAACCCUUCAAGGCUAAGUCAGACAUGGCUAGAACAAGCCUGAGGCCCAUCAUCUCCAGAGAGCACAAGCACUGAGUCAUACCUGACUGUUCCAUGUGUGCUCCUAUGCAACUUUUGGUUAUACUAGUUUUUCUAAUUAAAUAGGGCUCAAAGAACAGGUUUGGAUUUUGAAUUACAACACAGUGGGGAGGGAAAUGUGGGGUUGCAGGGUGCAAUAGUCAAAUAGUUUUAAUAUAAUGUAAUAUAUGUAAUAUGUAAUAUGUAAAUGUAUUAUAUGUAAUAUGUAAAAUAAUAAUUUAAUAUAAGCAACUAUUAUUAUUACAUGUCAGAGAUUCAAAGAGAUGUUGUCAGAGACAACAAAGAGAUUGUUGUUUCUCUCAGAUGAGAUUUCCUGGAAUGCUAUUCAAUAAUACCCAAUUUACAAAAUACUUCUCCCUCCUCCCCUCCCCCCUACUUCCCACCUCACCCCCACCCCCACCAAAAAAAAAAACCAUUGUAAAUUCAUUGUCCAAAACUUGGAACCCUUUCCCCCAUAAGAAUAUUGUUUUAAAUUAUAUUUAGGUUCCAAGCCUUUUUAGACCAUGAUGCUGAACUAUAUCCCAAGAGUACUAACCAGUGAUCCUAGCAACAGCAAGAUGUCUAAUGCACCAAAGAGAAAGAAAAAAGAGGAAAAAGUUACCCACCCAUUUUCUGAGUGAAGUCUAAUGUUGAAAAUGAUUAUUACUCUUUUGGCAUUCUUUUGCAUAUGCUUCUUUUUACUCUGGAGACCAAGGGUGCUAUGAAGAUGGAAAGAAUCUGAGCGAUUUCCCUGUUUAUUCUUUGGUCUGCACAUACAGACUGAGCAAUGUCAUACAUAGCUGACUUAGUGCCUCUGGAGUCCUGAGUAACUAAGGACAACACCUUGGACAUUCCAACUUACCAGACUGUCAACCCUAGUAGAUCAGCUGGAGUUCAAGGUUCAUGUCAGGUCCCCAGAGCUCUAGUGAUUCCCUGAUCUAGAAGUAAUCUCUCUCUCUCUCUCUCUCUCUCUCUCUCUCUCUCUCUCUCUCUCUCUCUCUCUCUCUCUUUUCUGAGCUCCCAUAACAGACUAUAUCUCUUAGAGAAGACAAUAUAUCCUUUUUUGUUGUCUAGUUUCACAUAUGUUUAAUUUCCCUUACUAAACUGUAAACCAAUCUGGGAUUACAGCUUUUGCCGUAAUCGACUUUUCACAGUAUGCUGCACAUAGUAACCACUUCAUCUUAUUUGAAUAAAUAUUGAAGGAAUAAAUGUAAUCAGUCCUCAACUCCCCACCUGGCCCUGUCAUGCCCCAGAGCAUUCUUUUCUUAAAUUACUACUAUCCCCUUCAGCUCAAUCAAAAUAUUCAUUCCUUCCAUGUUAAGUGCUCUCUGCCAGGUGCAAAAUGGAAAGCUAUCUAAUUGAAUUAAUUCACUCUAAUAUGGGAACAAAAUCCAGAAUUAGCCCUUUAACCAUCCCAGAUGUAAUUGGUUGUUGUUUGAGGGCUUUUUUUCCCUAAGAGAGCUCAAUUGACUUAAAAACUGGUAGGAUAGAACAAAUGAAUAACAACAAAAAUAAACUGUAAAAUAAAAUGAAGUGAAGAUCUCUGGUGAUGAAGGAGAAAAAUAUUGGGGAUGGGUCUGCUCCACUAAGUUUUCUCUGCUCUCCGAUUGGUCCCUUCUUACCGUUCUGGAUCCAGGAACUCUGCACUUAGGAUUGUGGCAGCGGCCAAGAGGGCUCUGACUCCGAGGAGAAGGGUGGGGCAGAUCCAUCCUGGAAAUGUUAAGUGGACUUUUGUAAGUAUGAGUCAUUUAUAAAUUAGGUGUUUGUUUAUUGCCAAGGACUACCCAUAGACUGCUUGUAAAAAUAACUCUAGUUUCACUACAUUUAGUGAAUACUAUAGGUUCUCAUGGCUGAAACUUGCAGAAAAAUAGCUGAGCAUCCAGUGCUCUGACUCCUACAAGGGUGGGGACCCAAGAUUUGAACUUCUGCCUUUACCUUUUACUUCCUUUCACAGGAAGGACUUUUGAGGCUAUCAUUGCAGUUUUUCAGGCUAUACAAAUCAAGCUUUAAAAGAAGGACUUUACCAUCAUCAGUUAGAAAAUGAGACUUUUCAGGAUCGAGUAGCCACUCUCAAGGAGGAAGAUGUAGUUUUAUGAUCUGGCAUGGACCACAACCUUCCUUCUCCAGAAUCCGACAAAGCGAUGGAGCAUGUAAAUGAACAAUUUUCCCCAUUUAGACUUAGCUGCCCCUGGACUUUCUCGACAGCCAAGCAAGCAGAGGCAAAGUUUGCAUUAGUAUGAUUUGCAAGCCACUCGAGAUGAAGUACUUUCUGUGUUUUGUUUUUUGUUCAAGCCUUUGAUUUCAUAAAUAGGUUUAGGCAGCAGGAGCCAGUGGUACCCAAGAGUCAUUUGGUAAAUUUUCAAUGUGAGAAUUUUACACUCUAGGAAUUAGGAGACAAAAAUAAACCUGGGCCUGAUUUAUUGUUUUGUUGAUUGUCUAGACUUGGGAAAGUGUUAAUGCAGAUUAAACUUAAAAGUAUGUUUACAUAGAUUCCUGUUCCCCUCAAGAGCCCAGUUGUUAAACAUUUACAAGCAUACCCCUGCUUUGUCUAUAAAUACUGUUUGAGCUCAGCAAGAAUGCAUGCCCCAGAAGGCUCAGGGAAUGAAAUCACUGCUGAACUGGAGGCCAGACUGGAAGAUAGAAUGAUGAUAACUGGCGUAUAUAUAGUAGUUUAGGGCUUGCAAAAUGCCUUAAGUCCAUUCUCUCAUUUGAGCCUCACAACAUCUUUGAGUGUGGGUAUUUCCUAGGAUAGAAAUUUCUUAAAAUGGCAAUACUUAACUUAUAUUAACCUUAGAGAGUUCCCUGGGGAAAAUUAAGGGCCUUCCCCUAUAGAGGGCUGGAACUUUGGAGAAGUAUACUUGAAACAAGGAUACUUACCACAAGGUGUUAAGUCAGUGGAAUUGAUGAGAUGAUGGUUCUUUAGUAUACAUAUACUUAGUACUUAGCACAGUGAUGUAAUUCUCUAGUUCACACAUACUCAGUAUGCAGUAAUGAUAUAAUUGUAUUAAAGUGUUUAAGGGCUGAAAAGGACUGGAUAUGAGACAUUCCAUUUUUGAUCAACCUCCUGGUGGCUCUCCUGCUUCCUGCGCUCCUCCACUAAGAUCAAGACUGGGCCAGAAUAAAGACUCUGGGCUCUAUUCCUGAUCAUUCCCGUGGUAUCUAUCCUGCUGAGACCAAGGCCUGUCGGAAGGACCUCCAGAAAGCUAGCCCGGACAUUACACUCCCCAUUGCCUCUCAACUUUUAUACAAGAAUUGGGACUUGAACUUUGCUUUUUCCAAUACCAGAUCUGCCCUCUGUCAUAUGCAUUUAUCUUUGAUCUAUCUCUACGUCAAAACAAAAACAAUCCUUGAUUGGUGACUUUAAAGAAGUCUAGUUAGUGAUUAACAACUACAUAACCACCAGGCUAAUGAGGCAAACUGGGAAAUCAGAGAGUUCUAUCAGAGCCAGAGAUUUAUUAUCAACCAUACUAAAAUUUUCUGUACCUUCAACCAAGAUCUUCUGAAUAAAGCAGUUUCCAUGGAGCCCAACAGGUAAUAUUUCUUGAUUUACCAACUUACAAAUGAGUCAUGUUCCAAAUGUGUCUCUGUAAGAAGUAUCGGUCAUUCAGUCUACAAAUCUACAGAGGAAAGCUACUUGCCUACUUAAUUUAGUAUCAUCAGAACAGAGUCCUAUUACUGAGGGACCCAAGACCUUAGAAGGCAGUAAGUCUGUCAUGACCUGUGUAAUAUGUAUACACAAAUAUGUGCCCAGAACAAAGAUUCAGCUUUUAGCCAUUGAAUGGAUGUUGCCUCAGAGACAAACUGAAACCUUUAAUUUAGAAAGGUCAAGUUCACUCACAGCAUCCAUCCAGAGCCAUCACCAGUCAUCUUGAUUUUUGCUUUUGCCACUGGACUUCAGUGACAUUGGAUAAAAGAUGAAAAACAUCAACAACCUUUGGGGAGAGCAGUACAAUUUAUUCAUCAGGG
rnacentral:lncRNA from 1 species